GUGCGGUAUUUCAAACGUCAGAUAUCUACACAGUACGUCUCAUGAAUAAGUUUUACAGCGACACAGAGCAUUUCAACACCAUUAUAAAUCUUGGGCAACAUUACAGAAGGGCGUAAGAGCAAAAUGUAAACAAACUGGUUUUAUGCUUAAUAUUAAACCUAAGCCAUUAAAUUAUCAUUCUCCGUUCGAAUAACAUUAGAAAAAACUCUUUGGACCGCCAAAAACAAGAUUCAUAAAAAGGCCGUAAAGCAAAAUUAAUUGCAGUAGAAUCCUGUUGCUGAUAAGCCCGUUUUGUUUACUCAUAAUUUUCAACAGUCAUAAUCAUUUUUUUGAGUUAAAAUGCACUUCUAAUGCUUGCUGAGGGUCACAGCGAUCAUUUUGGCCAAGUUUUGUUGCAUUUAUUAUAAAUAUGCCGAUAUAUCCUCAAAAAUACUCAUUGAGUAAAUUAUGUGCAUUAGGCCAUUAUUAUUUUUCAGCCUUCAAUACGCCCUGCUUUACCGACUGUUUUCAAUACAAUAAUGUUGAUGCGGCUAUGACAACAGCCCGUUAUCGGAAAUGAUUUGCUGUUAAGCCGUUCGUGUUUCGCGUGCUAUGGAGUCACUGGCUGUUCCGGACCUGCGCUCACAAAAACAUUUUUAAGGAGCAAAGGAAGUGAUCGAACAGGUUGUUUAUUAUUGUGUAUUGAAUCGCUCCGACGAAGCAUAACACAGCUACGCUACGGAAUGUGCUUUUGAUGUCAUCAAUAGCCCUUACGCAAAGUGAAGUGGCUAGGAUCUUUCUAAAACAAAUGUUCUGCUGCUAAUUGUUUCAAAAAUCUUCACUUCGAGGCAACACCUCAGCUAACUGGAUUAAAUGUGUAGUUAUCUAUGAUGGGUAAAAUAGCAGAAAAAUCAAUAGCAUUAAUUCUGUUAUAACAAGAAACCGCCUCCUACGAAACAUUAAGGCUCGUUUAUUGCUUUAUCGGAGACAGUUUAGUAGGAGUUGAUCAAUAAUAACCGAAAAUAGUCAAUCUCAACAGGCCGAUCUAAUUUCACAUCAGAUAUCGUUGGGUGAUUCGGCUCUUGCUUUUAAGUGGGAAAUGGAAAGUUGUAAUGAGAAGUACUUCAAGUGGAUUAUUAAAGCGGAAAGAAAAUGUUCAUUGGUCAAACGCAUUUUUUCUUUAUAGAGCUAUUUGAGCAGCAGCAAUCGCGCAGAUAUCAAUUGCAUACGAGAAAAAAAUAUUUUGCACUUUAAACGGCACUUUAUUUAUCUUUCACGGAAGUAGCUACAUUUACACGAACAUUAUUCAUAAAUGCACGCAGAGCCUAUAUUUGGAAAUAAAAACAUGUUUCAAUCUCAAUUUAUAUUUUAAUUUUUUUUUUUUCAAAUGCUAAAUGUACUUGAUUUGUAUAAUAUUGUUAUAAAAUGCAUUGUCCAUUUAUGUUUACUGAAAUUGGUAAGAUGUACAAUCAGCAAAUCGCGUUCUGAAAUUCGAUAUUAGAUAAAUAAGAAUACUCUGGCGCUGUCGUUGGCUGCCAGCAGAAAGUUCCCGUGCAAAUCUUGUGAAUUGUUUCGGCUUUUAUUCAAUUCUUGAGAAAGAUAUGACGUUGGCUACAUACGAUGAAGAUAACAGGUUGAUGUGAGGUAGGGGCAUACAAAAACACUUUCCGUAGUUCUUAGAAUGCAGCACUUUGUUGCUUUUGUUUCGUGCGGUGUUCCCACUUCAUUUUCUCUUAAUGUUUUGUGAUCAAUUAAAUGAAAACUCUAUUAUAUUUCCAUUGAAAGUAAAAGCCUUAGAGCAAACUGAAAUGAAAACACGCCGUUAGGUUGCGGUCGCAUGAAGAUUUUGUUGUCAACAAGAGGCGGCUGUCAACGGCCCUAGCAGCAAAAGCUGGUCGACGACAGGCGGCAAAGUAGGGCGUUAAACAUACCAAAAUUUGAAAACGGCGCAUUGUAUAUAUUCUCGCUUUUCAGCUCAUAAAUAAAUUCUCGCUAGAAAAUGAAGGGUCAGAAUGAAUAAUAUGUCUACCUAGUUUACUUUAAUCUUUAGUUUGGGUUACUAACAAUCACUCGUUUGAAUAGAGAAUAAAAAACAUCAUGAAAAAUUUCAAAGCCGAUUUUCUCGGAAGCAUGCAAUUGCUGUAAGGCCCUUCUGAAAAAUCGUCCUAGAAAUACUUCAGGCGAGCUAAUUCGAACGUUUAAAUUGGCUGAGUUUUAUGUAUGUCAGCUGGAGGAAAACAAAACCCCAAAAGUGUGUGUGAAAGGAAUUGCAUAGAACUCUACAGCGACAAGGUCUACCCUAAAAAAGUUUAGGCAGACUUCAAUUGGACAAAAAAUGAUUAGAACGGGAAUUUGAAAAAUAUUUAAUUCUCUUGUGUUGUUGGACAUACAAAACGGCGAUGAACACGUUAAGUGGCCACAUUCCUCCCACAUCUCCGACAGGUGUGGUUUCUGCGCUGGCCUAUGUAAAGCACUCUUUCGGCGCGUGCUUGCCGUUACGGAAGAACGAAAGGAACAAAUCAGGUGCACCCUGACAAUGCCAAAUUUCUCCAUUGCCUCGCUAGUGCAAUCUAACUACAUUUCAUGUUACAAACGCCGCCGAACCCUCAUACAGCAGCUAAUUAUUUCCGAAAGCUGCUUUCAGAUUUCGUCGCUGUUGUGCUAUCUUAUUACAAGCGCCAUUUAGCACAUUUCGAGAAAAACGAUUUUUAAAGUUUGAGAUUGAAUAUCUUGAAACUUAUAAAUGGUAUAAACAAUCCAAAGAAGACAAUUGAUGCUUCUAUCUGUUCUGCAUUAAUCUCUCAAAUAUUACGAAGAUCGGUUGACUAUGUUGCGAGUUUUUACUAUGAAUGUAAACAAAAGUCGCACUCACACGUGUCAUAGGCGUGUAUUGAUGUCAAAAUUUGUAGGACGUGUCAUAAUCGUGCAUGGAAAAUUUUCCAUAGAAAAAAAUCAUCGCUUUUUAACUUUUAUUCAUAUCUUUGGGUUCAUAUGGUCUAUAAACAUUCGGUGAAAUGCAUUUUAAAGGAAAUGAGUCAGGGAAUCUAGAAAAAAUGGUUAUUCUUGAUUACAGUGUUGCCAAAUAUAUUUUAUUUCCAGUUCAAAACUAAAACUGUGUUUUUCUCACAACUCGUAUAAUUUUCUUUCGAAAAUGUUUAUGCCAUUGUGUUCCUCAGACAUUUUCACACAUAAAACCGUCGAAAACUUUAAUAUAACUUGAGCCAAUCCCUAGAUAUAGUGAUUUGAAGCAAAAAACUUACAAUUUCUUAUCAUGUUUCUAGCUAUAUCUAAGUAACCAAGUAGAAUUUCAAAAUUCUGAAAACGCCACUUUGUAGAGAUUUUUCAAACAAGUAAUGUGGCAUAUCUAACUCAGUUUACCCCAAAAUGGCGUUUGUCAUAAUAUAGCACAACAGCGACGAUUUAGCCUAGCGCGGAAGAAGUUGACAUCCAAGUGGAUCCAGAGAUAGUACACGAGGACGCGGACGAUGAGCGAUCAGAUAUCGAAAAUGCUGUGGAAGACGCUGAUGAAUUAAACAUUUUCCUUUGGAACCAAAAACCGGAAUGCGCAUCAAGGAAGAGAAUGGGAAGAUUUACGUUAUUAGCGGGAGGGGAGAGGAAAAAGUUGAAAUGGGUGAUUUGCAGAGCGUUUUCGUCGAUUUAUGGAUCCGGAUCGCAACAUGAAACAAAAUAGUUCAAAGGGAGAAAAGGAAUCUGCUGGUUUGCCGCUAAAGAAGGAUCGUUCAUUACCCAUUCGGAACCGAUGUCCAUAUUGUAAUAGAGUUUGCGGACAAGUACCUGAUGACGACGCACAUUCGAUGGCACACGAGUAAAAAGCCCUUCAAAUGUGUCCCCACUGUUCGAAAACAUUCACUCAAUCGAUAACGCUGAAGAUACACGUCAGGUUUCACACCCGGGAAAACACGAGAAUUUGCAUGCCACCGGGAAACUGUUCGAUUGUCGCGAUUGUGGUAAAAAGUAUAACACAUAUGUGUCCAAAUGCAAGGUUUCUAAUACCAACGUAAAGGAAAAGAUGUACUCGUGUAAAAUAUACAGCCAAACAUUCAAGCAUCAGCAAAGCAGGGUGUACCACAUGAGCAACAAAACCAAACAGAAACGGUUCGACAGAGGUUUUGAGAGAUAUGAAGACGGACGAAGGAGAGGCGAUUUGACGAAGCUAAAAUAACUUUCUCGUUCCCAAAUUGUUAAAGCUACCAAGCGCAAUACCGGACAACUUGAGCAAUUUGUCCUGAGCAUGUUUUUGGCAAGUGGUGAGGAUAGUGUAUCUGUUUAUUGGGUAGUAUUUGGCACACCAACAUUAGUAGCGUAAAUAUCCAGCGCCAGACGCAGGUUCCGUUUGAUGGAUUCGAUGGAAUCGCUAUCGACAGACUCUUCAUCAUCUCGACUUCCAUGAGCUCAUUCAGUACUUUAUGAUAAAAUAACAAUAGUCUACACAGGCUACGGUCCGACCCGGAUGUAGAAUUCAACUAGAUACAUUCGACAAUAAUACCACGCAAGACUGGCAGUAUACUCGACUGCUGUAUGCUUUUCAAGAGCAGCUGAUUUUUGGUGAACUAUCGGAAAGGAUUCAAACGAAAUGGCAUUUGCUUACAUUUCAGCAUGUAUCAAACAAUUGAAUUCAAAUAGUUUGUACCUUUCCGAUUUAUUUGAGGCAUGAUUUUCCUGGAAAGACAAAUACCAACAGUAUCAAAAUAGCGCCGAUUUUUUUUUUAACGUGGCGAAUGAAUUUUUUAAAGUCACGUAAAUAAAACAAUCAAUCAA